AGUCGAGCGAACGGACGAGAAGCUUGCUUCUCUGAUGUUAGCGGCGGACGGGUGAGUAACACGUGGAUAACCUACCUAUAAGACUGGGAUAACUUCGGGAAACCGGAGCUAAUACCGGAUAAUAUUUUGAACCGCAUGGUUCAAAAGUGAAAGACGGUCUUGCUGUCACUUAUAGAUGGAUCCGCGCUGCAUUAGCUAGUUGGUAAGGUAACGGCUUACCAAGGCAACGAUGCAUAGCCGACCUGAGAGGGUGAUCGGCCACACUGGAACUGAGACACGGUCCAGACUCCUACGGGAGGCAGCAGUAGGGAAUCUUCCGCAAUGGGCGAAAGCCUGACGGAGCAACGCCGCGUGAGUGAUGAAGGUCUUCGGAUCGUAAAACUCUGUUAUUAGGGAAGAACAUAUGUGUAAGUAACUGUGCACAUCUUGACGGUACCUAAUCAGAAAGCCACGGCUAACUACGUGCCAGCAGCCGCGGUAAUACGUAGGUGGCAAGCGUUAUCCGGAAUUAUUGGGCGUAAAGCGCGCGUAGGCGGUUUUUUAAGUCUGAUGUGAAAGCCCACGGCUCAACCGUGGAGGGUCAUUGGAAACUGGAAAACUUGAGUGCAGAAGAGGAAAGUGGAAUUCCAUGUGUAGCGGUGAAAUGCGCAGAGAUAUGGAGGAACACCAGUGGCGAAGGCGACUUUCUGGUCUGUAACUGACGCUGAUGUGCGAAAGCGUGGGGAUCAAACAGGAUUAGAUACCCUGGUAGUCCACGCCGUAAACGAUGAGUGCUAAGUGUUAGGGGGUUUCCGCCCCUUAGUGCUGCAGCUAACGCAUUAAGCACUCCGCCUGGGGAGUACGACCGCAAGGUUGAAACUCAAAGGAAUUGACGGGGACCCGCACAAGCGGUGGAGCAUGUGGUUUAAUUCGAAGCAACGCGAAGAACCUUACCAAAUCUUGACAUCCUUUGACAACUCUAGAGAUAGAGCCUUCCCCUUCGGGGGACAAAGUGACAGGUGGUGCAUGGUUGUCGUCAGCUCGUGUCGUGAGAUGUUGGGUUAAGUCCCGCAACGAGCGCAACCCUUAAGCUUAGUUGCCAUCAUUAAGUUGGGCACUCUAAGUUGACUGCCGGUGACAAACCGGAGGAAGGUGGGGAUGACGUCAAAUCAUCAUGCCCCUUAUGAUUUGGGCUACACACGUGCUACAAUGGACAAUACAAAGGGCAGCGAAACCGCGAGGUCAAGCAAAUCCCAUAAAGUUGUUCUCAGUUCGGAUUGUAGUCUGCAACUCGACUACAUGAAGCUGGAAUCGCUAGUAAUCGUAGAUCAGCAUGCUACGGUGAAUACGUUCCCGGGUCUUGUACACACCGCCCGUCACACCACGAGAGUUUGUAACACCCGAAGCCGGUGGAGUAACCUUUUAGGAGCUAGCC
rnacentral:rRNA from 1 species